GGCGGAACAUGUUAACAUGAUCUCAUCAUCCCAUGCGGGGAAGUGUUGGAGAUACGGCGCCGGAACUGCGACCCGUCCCAGAGCCAUCACCCCUCACCGCUCUAGGGUUCCGAUCCUCUCCCUUUCUAGGAUUGUGGGCAGAGGAUGAAUCACUGGAGACAUCCUGAUAUGUGGAUGGCUGACUUCAACAGUUUAGGGUUUCGUGGAUAUUCUUUCCCAUGUCCAUUGCUCGGGUUCAAGGGGUACAACAUUUUCUAGCGUGCAAUAUCCUCGUUCUUCUUCCGUGAUGUCCAUCUUUACAAUCGGGUUUUGCUUCGAGGACUGCUUGAAGGAUCCGAUUGGAUGGGGAAGUAUAGCUAAUUUGAACAUUUUAGGGUUUCAUUGGUUUUCUUCUCUGUUCCUAAUGAUUGGAUUCAUGGGUUACAUAAUGAGCAAUUACAACUAAAUCUUCAUAUCUUUGUUGUCUCUUGGUAGCAUAUAUCCUUACUAGCUUACAAUUUUUAUACCCUUCUACAGUUUCCAUCCUUGCAAUUGGAAAAAUUCAGAGUGGAAAGAGAAUUUCUUGGUAUUCCUAACUGAUAAAUUUCUUAUCCUUCUAUGAUCUCUAUUCCUCACAUUAAGAUUUUAUAUUGUGGACUGGAUUUGUAUUGGAAAGGAAGAUUAUCAACUUUGGCUAUCUUGAUAGGCAGAUAGCUGAUUUCGAUAUUUUAGGAUUUCAUGGAUUUUCUUUUCCAUCCUGACUGAAUGGAUUCUCGGUGGACAUCUUUUUGCAGCAUGAUCUUUUAGAUCUUCAUUGUUUCUUGGUGAUGUAAAUCCUUCCUAACUUUCAAAUUUCUCAUCCUUCUUCUAUGAUGUCAACUUUUUGGUAACCUUAUGAAGUUAUAAGUGGUUUUAAUUUACUGUAAGACAAUUUUAUGCUCUUAAUACAUAGAAUAUUCUGGUUUAGCUAACAUUUCCAACCAUAGCACACUACUUCCUCUAUGUCGACCGAAGCCAUGUUAUGUUUCACAAUCAGGAGUUUCAAAAACCUAAAACGACUGAAUUAAAUGUCUAUAAGUUCUCAUUCUACUUCUAUGUUGAUCUAUUAUAUGGAUGGGAAUGGCUUGUCGAGUUGCUAAUCAACAGUGAUCAUUCAUGAAGAGUUUCUUUGCUUUAUAACAAUUUGUUGACAUUCCUCUUGUCUAGAGAUGUAACGACAUCCUAAUUUGUGGAGAUAGAAAGUUCUGAUAAAAAAGAACAAUAAGAUAAAAAAAUAGAUAAAAUAUAAAUCCAAAAUAAUACACAUGCAACAAUGAAGCCCACGUGUUCUGUUUAUCUACAUUCUCUUUGUUGUCCUCAGGUUUAAGACAAAAGUUUAUGCAAUGUAUUGUUCUGUAGAAAUUAAAGUUCUGUGAUAUCUUUUAUGCUUAUUUACAAUUGCACCAGGGCUUUUGUAGUUUUAAAUGAUUGCAGACUUUUAUUCUCUCUAGCAUUCCUAUGUCUCCAAUUUUUUUGAGCAUCCUGUACCAAUUCUGUCAUUUCCUCUCAAUAAUGUUGCAUUUCUUGUUUGCAUAACUUUGGAACACUAGUACAGCCAGAUAACUGUUAUUUACCUAACAUUUUCUUUGAAUGCUUUAAGUUGUGAACCCAGAACUCUUUUCACUUCAUUACUUCAUUGUUCUUGAGAUUAAAACAAUGCAACUGCUGUUGAAUAUGCUCCUCACAGAGUAUAAUUAGAUGAACCAAAGUUUUAAGUGUGUGUGCACAUCUGUCCAUCUCUUACACAGUUACAUAUUUGUUUAUUUGAACAUUCAUAUCCCAAUUUAUGUAUAAAUAGGCAGGGCAUUGCAUGGGGUAACACUUCUUUUCCUCUAGUUAGUGUCAGCUAUCAGCUUAAGAAUGCAUUCUACUACACCUGGGAUUGAUCCUUCCCCUCAGCAGUGAGCACCAUGUUUCUUUAAAGUUCCAAAUCAUUAGCUCCUUCAGUGAGUUCAAAUCUACAUGUUAUGGAAACCGGAGAGAGAAAAAGCUGAUAUGAUUUCAUUCACUCACUCGAACUACCAUCUCAAGUGCAAUUUAGUGUGCAGACGCAGACAGCUUUAUAACAUGACUUACUCUUGAAUGGAAGAUACCACUACCUAAUUACCAUUUCUUUCUCACUGAUUUCAAAUAUCAACUGGUGCAACCACCACUGUCCCAGUAUAAACACUUAAUCUUGUGCUUGUUCUUAUCAUCAGGAACAUUGACCUUUUUCUUUAUUACUUCUUUUUACGUUCAUCAGUCUGCUAACUAAUGUAGGAGAUGUAGGGUUUCCAAUGGCUUGACAGCCUUGAGCUUCCGAGGAGGCGCUUGCAGCAUUGCAGAUGGUAGUGACGAGUGCAUGAACUUGCAGUUGGGGCAUGAAGGAGAUGACUCGCAGAGCAUGACGAGGAGAUGACAGUUGAUGCAGACUACCGCGACCAUGCUGCCACAUGAAUUAGAUAUGUGAUAGAUGGGAACAAAUGCAUGCUGAACAAUCACUUCUGAAGCAAGCAUGACAUCAGAGCUGGAAGCUAGCUUGAACCUUACAGAAGAAUGCAGAUACUGCACUCCAACCUGCAGGCACCGGUCUCUUCAAUGCCUUCAGAAACAGCAAUAAACAAGUGUAGUGUUAUUCGCCUUUCUUCCGGGCAAGUAAUGCAGCUUGUUCCUCCAGAUAUAGCUCACAGUUUCUGCCUUUCCCAAUUCCUGGAGGAAGAUAUCAUGAAUCUUUGUCCUUGCAUACUCAUCAUGUUUCUGCUGGUUAUCAAGGCAGGAAAUGACAACUUCUGUUCACCAUGUCAGGUACUGAAUGGAACAAGAGCGAAAAUUGUAAUCAAUUCAACCAGGCAUGACUUGGUCAGUGGCAGAAUGUGGAACAGAUCAUCACCAAACAAGCAGUGCAUUUAAGGCCAACCUACUGCAAUUCUACUUGGUUUCAAGCUCAUCUUCUACAUUCAAUUACAAAACUGCACCAGAAAUCCAUAUUCUCACUCAAUCGGCUCUUUGAUCUUAAAUGCAGUAUCCAUUCAUAUCCCUAUUUUAAUGAGGAUUCACCAUCACCAUCUCAAGCUUAAAAGAGUCAAUAAGUUUUCUGCAUCAGAAAUGAAAUGAACUAGGUUGUUGGGUUGCCAUGUAACUGUGAUCUGAGACCUACUGGAGUUUCAAGGCACAUGCCAAGGAGAAGAUUUGACUGGAAGAUCAUUUAGUUUAUUACUUGUAGCUUGCCCAAAAUCAUAUAUGUCCUACUGAUGCAAUCAAUACUUGCAUGACAUGUAAUCAAAUGUUCACGAUCACUAUUCAGAGAGAGAGAGAGAGAGAGAGAGAUCCUUUUCGGAUUUCAUGGGCGAUGUGCCAGGCCCGCCCGUGUGAGGAAUCAAGGGUGACGUGGCAUAUCGAGGUGGGUCUCAGGGUUGUUCAGAACAUUCCCCGGACUGGGACGGCUUGAGUCCGACUUUGUCGAACUGUUGGCUCACUGGGCUUUGGGAUCGGUGCGUCUCUCCAAGAAGCCCAACAAACCCGCCUCUCUAUCCGGU